rnacentral:lncRNA from 1 species
CACAGUUCAUGGUAAAGCCCAAGACUGUACCUGCCCAUCCACUGCCUUUUCCAUGUAUCCUGGAACUGAGCAUAGACCUCUUCCCAGGCAGAGCUGACAGCAAGUAAAGGAGAUCAUAAUCAGGGGACCAAACAACUUUGUCUAAAGUGUGAAUGUCACCUAAGGAGAAGCUGUGAGAUCAGAAGGGUGGGGCAGAGGAGCAGACACCAUGAGGGAGAGUCCUUGGGGGUACAUCUGCCAGACUGACACUGUCUGGCCUGGGCAGUGGAGGGGCUAGCAGGAACCACAGGUACUGGUGGUGUGGCUACUACCGUUACAACUGCCUGUGCUUGGACAUGGACCCUCUGCAAUAUGCGGCAGUUUCAUUCAUUGCCCCCUACAUUCUACACCAAGUAGAAAUGGAAGGCAAUUGGAUACUUCACAGACAAGAUCUAAGUGGAGAAGGAAUGCGUCCUGUGGCUGCAGAGAUCCUUGGAGCUUGGAGGGGAGAGCUUGAGCCCCACUGAUGAUGACCUCCCACAGCUCGCCAACUCAGCCCUCCCUAAGUCCCCAUCGGGGGCCAAUUCUCACUCUGGGGUUGGGGGGACUCCACCAUAGCUCAUCCAUCAUAGGGAUGUUGGUAUCUACUGUGGGUUGGGUAGGGCCGAUGUGCUGAGGAUGGCUCCCCCACAAGCAAGAGAUGUGGAUUUGGGGAGCUUCCCAUCUUGUGUUGAAGGAACAUAACUCAGAAUAAUAAGAGCCAACUAUAACAAACCCACAGCCAACAUCAUACUGAAUGGGCAAAAGCUGCAGGCAUUCCCCUUGAAAAGUGGCACAGGAUAAGGAAGCCCUUUCUCACCACUCCUAUUCAAUAUAGUGUUGAAAGUCCUGAUCACAGCAGUCAGGCAACAGAAAUAAUAAAGGGCAUCCAAAUAGGAAGAGAGGAAGUCAAACUAUCCUUGUUUGCAGACAGUAUGAUUCUAUAUCUAGAAAACCCCAUAGCCUCAGCCCAAAAGGUCCUUCAUCUGAUAAUUUCAGCAAAGUUUCAGGAGACAAAAUCAGUGUACAAAAAUCACUAACAUUCCUAUACACAGUCGCCAAGCCAAGAGCCAAAUCAGGAGCACAAUCCCAUUCAUAAUUGCCACAAAAAAGAAUAAAAUACCCAGGAAUGCAGCUAACCAAGGAAGUAAAGGAUCUCUACAAUGAGAAUCACAAACGCUGCUCAAAGAAAUCAGAGAUGACACAAACAAAUGGAAAAACUUUCCAUGCUCAUGGCUAGGAAGAAUCAAUAUCAUUAAAGUGGCCAUACUACCCAAAGCAAUUUAUAGAUUCAAUGCUAUUCCUAUCAAACUAUCAAUUACAUUUUUCACAGAACUAGAAAAAACUUAAAAUUCAUAUGGAACCAAAAAGCCUGAGUAGUCAAGGCAAUCCUAAACAAAAAGAACAAAGGUGGAGGCAUCACAUUACCUAACUUCAAACUACAGGGCUACCAUGACCAAAACAGCAUGGUACUGGUACAAAAGCAGACACACAGACCAGUGGGACAGAAUAGAGAGCCCAAAAAUAAGGCCACAAACCUACAGCCAUCUGAUCUUCAACAAAGUUGACAAAAACAAGCAAUGGGGAAAGGUCUCCCUAUUCAAUAAAUGGUGCUGGGAUAACUGGCUGGCCAUAUGCAGAAGAUCGUAACUGGACCCCUUUUACUAUGUACAAAAAUUAAGAUGGUUUAAAGAGUUAAAACCCAAAAUUAUAAAAAUCCUGAAGAUAACUUAGGCAAUACCAUUCUGGACAUAGGAACUGGCAAAUAUUUCAUGAUGAAGACACCAAAAGCAAUUGUAACAAAAGCAAAAAUGGACAAAUUGGAUUUAAGAGCUUUUUCAUAGCAAAAUAAACAACAGGGCAGACAAUCUACCAAAUGACAGAAAAUUUUUGCAAACUAUGCAUCUGACAAGGGGCUAAUAUCUAGCAUCUAUAAGGAAUUUAAACACAGUUACAGG